UACGAAGGGGGCUAGCGUUGCUCGGAAUCACUGGGCGUAAAGGGCGCGUAGGCGGAUCUUUAAGUCGGGGGUGAAAGCCUGAGGCUCAACCUCAGAAUUGCCUUCGAUACUGGAGAUCUUGAGACCGGAAGAGGUAAGUGGAACUGCGAGUGUAGAGGUGAAAUUCGUAGAUAUUCGCAAGAACACCAGUGGCGAAGGCGGCUCACUGGCCCGGUACUGACGCUGAGGUGCGAAAGCGUGGGGAGCGAACAGG
rnacentral:rRNA from 1 species